GCGUCGGUGGUCUAAUGGCUAUGACUUCGGCCUUCCAAGCCGAGUAUCCGGGUUCGAAAACUCAUAAAACUCAUUUAUGGUCGAUUUUCCCGGCCGACGCA
rnacentral:tRNA from 1 species